rnacentral:sRNA from 1 species
AGACGCGGCCGAGGUAGGACUGGGUCGGCGGCUUCCUUCCGGCUCUGCGCUCCUGGCUGGGGCUGCUGGGCGGCUGGUGCCGGGUCCCCGCACCCGGCUCUCAAGUCCGGGAUUACCCGCAGGGCCUGUGAAGCGCUUUGCCCCCUACAGCCUCUCGAGCCAGCCCUUGGCUCGGAAUUGGAGAAUGGUCCUCAUUCUUACCCAGAUCUCACACGCCGUCCCCGCUCCCGAUCCCAGGGGGUGACAGGCGCGCACGCCUUUCAAACGCGUGUUAAAAUCCAAGACGUCGUCUCAAAUGCCAGAGAUUUGCGGGAAUGCUCCUGGAAGGCCUCAAAAUCGCCGCAAGAACAGUCCACUUUGGAAAGUGAAGAAUGGAAUCCUUGGGAAGGAGAUGAAAAAAAUGAGCAACAACACAGAUUUAAAACUAGCCUUCAAAUAUUAAAUAAAUCCACGAAGGGAAAAACAGAUCUCAGUGUACAAAUCUGGGGCAAAGCUGCCAUUGUCCAAGCUGGCAGUGUUUCUGCUCAUAAAACAUUCUGAAGAACCUUGUGGGCCCUCUGUGUAUGUCACAGGAUUCACUCCAUUAGAUGGGAAGCUCCUCUGCAGAUCUUUUCUGAGUAAUCCCAUCUCCAUUUCUGGCUUCUGCUGAGAUGGCUGAGGAGACCUGUUUGUAUCUCUGGGAGCAUAUUUUUGAAGGCUUACUUGAUCCCAGCGAUGUGACUGCUCAAUGGAGAGAAGGAAAGUCAGUCGUAGGAAGAACACAGUACAGCUUCAUCACUGGUCCAGCUGUAAUACCAGGGUACUUCUCCGUUGAUGUGAAUAAUGUGGUACUCAUUUUAAAUGGAAGAGAAAAAGCAAAGAUCUUUUAUGCCACCCAGUGGU